rnacentral:ncRNA from 1 species
GGAAUCAUUAGCGGGGAAAGAAUACCCAGUUGAACUCUAAUUAGGCACAAUAAAGAGAUUUUUAAUGACCUUUAACAAACAAUCAAUUCAGAACUGGCAUGGACCAGGGGAAUCCGACUGUCUAAUUAAAACAAAGCAUUGUUAUGGCUCUAAAGGAUGUUGAAACAAUGUGAUUUCUGCCCAGUGCUCUGAAUGUCAAUGUGAAGAAAUUCAAGAAAGCGCGGGUAAACGGCGGGAGUAACUAUGACUCCCUUAUGGUAGCCAAAUGCAUCGUUAUCUUAUUAGUGACGCACAUGAAUGGAUUAACGAGAUCCCUACUGUCCUUAUCUACUAUCUAGCGAAACCACAGCCAAGGGAACAGGCUUGGAAACAUUAGCGGGAAAAGAAUAUCCUGUUGAACUCUAAUUAGUCACAGUAAAGAGAUUUUCAGGGAAAUUACGCCACCACUAAUUUACAUCCAUGUGCUCUACCGCGUGCACUGAAGAAACACUCAGAGUUCACAGGGAAAUGACUCCACCACUAAUUUACAUCCAUGUGCUUUACCACG